GCGUGAGUGAUGAAGGCCUUAGGGUUGUAAAGCCCUUUCGGCGGGGAAGAUAAUGACGGUACCCGCAGAAGAAGCCCCGGCUAACUUCGUGCCAGCAGCCGCGGUAAUACGAAGGGGGCUAGCGUUGCUCGGAAUUACUGGGCGUAAAGCGCACGUAGGCGGAUUGUUAAGUCAGGGGUGAAAUCCCGGAGCUCAACUCCGGAACUGCCUUUGAAACUGGCAAUCUUGAGUCCGGGAGAGGUGAGUGGAACUGCGAGUGUAGAGGUGAAAUUCGU
rnacentral:rRNA from 1 species